rnacentral:tRNA from 1 species
GCCCCUGUAACUCAAUUGGUAGAGUAGCUCCCUUUUAAGGAGAAAGUUGCAGGUUCGAGUCCUGCCAGGGGCA